rnacentral:misc_RNA from 1 species
UUAAUUUCUGAAUUGCCUCCAGUGGCUACAACUAUAUAGAGAAAUAAAAAAUAGAAAAAUGCGAAACAGCCUUGGUAAAAUAUAAAAUUCUUAACAACCAUAUCAAAAUAUAAAAUUACUUGUUAAAUUUCUUACAAAUAAAAGAAGAAUAAUAAUUGUGAAGGGGCCCUUCUUCCCACGUUGGAUUUGGGUCACAGUUAGGACUUAUGCCUAUAGGGAAUAUACACUGCAUCAAUUUACUUGCAAGUUGCCAUACUGGAUGAGGCAACUAUCUAAUGGUCAUGCAAAAAUGUGGAUGGUAUAGAUUGUUUGAAGUAACGUUUAAAGUGCAACACAUAGCCUUAACUUGUG